rnacentral:rRNA from 1 species
GAUGAACGCUAGCUACAGGCUUAACACAUGCAAGUCGAGGGGCAGCAUGGUCUUAGCUUGCUAAGGCCGAUGGCGACCGGCGCACGGGUGAGUAACACGUAUCCAACCUGCCGUCUACUCUUGGACAGCCUUCUGAAAGGAAGAUUAAUACAAGAUGGCAUCAUGAGUCCGCAUGUUCACAUGAUUAAAGGUAUUCCGGUAGACGAUGGGGAUGCGUUCCAUUAGAUAGUAGGCGGGGUAACGGCCCACCUAGUCUUCGAUGGAUAGGGGUUCUGAGAGGAAGGUCCCCCACAUUGGAACUGAGACACGGUCCAAAACUCCUACGGGAGGCAGCAGUGAGGAAUAUUGGUCAAUGGGCGAGAGCCUGAACCAGCCAAGUAGCGUGAAGGAUGACUGCCCUAUGGGUUGUAACUUCUUUUAUACGGGAAUAAAGUGAGGCACGUGUGCCUUUUUGUAUGUACCGUAUGAAUAAGGAUCGGCUAACUCCGUGCCAG